ACAUGCCUACAACAUAGUGUUAAUGCACUGGAUCCCAUUAUAACUCUGCAUUUAAGUGCGCUCAGGCUAGAUUAGUAUUAGGAUGGGUGACUGCUCAGGAAUUCCCAGUGUUUUACAUGCC
rnacentral:rRNA from 1 species